rnacentral:rRNA from 1 species
UACGUAGGGCGCAAGCGUUGUCCGGAAUUAUUGGGCGUAAAGAGCUCGUAGGCGGUUUGUCGCGUCUGUCGUGAAAGCUUGGGGCUUAACCCCAAGUCUGCGGUGGAUACUGGCAGACUAGAGGCAGGUAGGGGAGAACGGAAUUCCCGGUGUAGCGGUGAAAUGCGCAGAUAUCGGGAGGAACACCGGUGGCGAAGGCGGUUCUCUGGGCCUGUACUGACGCUGAGGAGCGAAAGCGUGGGGAGCGAACAGG